rnacentral:misc_RNA from 1 species
GAAAUGCGAUAAGUAAUGUGAAUUGCAGAAUUCAGUGAAUCAUCGAAUCUUUGAACGCACCUUGCGCUCCUUGGUAUUCCGAGGAGCAUGCCUGUUUGAGUGUCAUGGAAUUCUCAACUCUAUUUGCUUUUGUGAAUAGAGCUUGGAUUUGGAGGUUUAUUGCUGGUACUUGUGAUCGGCUCCUCUUGAAUGCAUUAGCUCGAACCUUUGCGGAUCAGCUAUCGGUGUGAUAAUUGUCUACGCCGUUGCAGUGAAGCAUAUCAAUGGGCUCGGCUUCCAAUCGUCCUUUACUGGACAAUGACUUUGACCUUUGACCUCAAAUCAGUUAGGAUUCCCCGCUGAACUUAAGC